CUUCGGGUCCGCAUUGUAAUUUGUAGAGGAUGCUUUGGGUGAAACGCCAGUCUAAGUUCCUUGGAACAGGACGUCAUAGAGGGUGAGAAUCCCGUAUGUGACUGGAAAUGUUAACCUAUGUAAAGCUCCUUCGACGAGUCGAGUUGUUUGGGAAUGCAGCUCUAAAUGGGAGGUAAAUUUCUUCUAAAGCUAAAUAUUGGCGAGAGACCGAUAGCGCACAAGUAGAGUGAUCGAAAGAUGAAAAGCACUUUGGAAAGAGAGUUAAAAAGCACGUGAAAUUGUUGAAAGGGAAGCGCUUGCAAUCAGACUUGUUUAAACUGUUCGGCCGGUCUUCUGACCGGUUUACUCAGUUUGGACAGGCCAGCAUCAGUUUCGGCGGCCGGAUAAAGGCUCUGGGAAUGUGGCCUUCACUUCGGUGAAGGUGUUAUAGCCCAGGGUGUAAUACGGCCAGCCGGGACUGAGGUCCGCGCUUCGGCUAGGAUGCUGGCGUAAUGGUUGUAAGCGACCCGUCUUG
rnacentral:rRNA from 1 species